GUUCCUCGGGGCAGAACAUAUACUAAAUUUGGAAUGGUACAGCGAUUAGCAUGACCCCUGCACAAACUGAUACCCUGACACACAAAAUCGUGAAGCGUUGUCAUAUUUU